AUGAACGCUGGCGGCGUGCCUCAUACAUGCAAGUCGAGCGAACGGACGAGAAGCUUGCUUCUCUGAUGUUAGCGGCGGCCGGGUGAGUAACACGUGGAUAACCUACCUAUAAGACUGGGAUAACUUCGGGAAACCGGAGCUAAUACCGGAUAAUAUUUUGAACCGCAUGGUUCAAAAGUGAAAGACGGUCUUGCUGUCACUUAUAGAUGGAUCCUCGCUUCAUUAGCUAGUUGGUAAGGUAACGGCUUACCAAGGCAACGAUGCAUAGCCGACCUGAGAGGGUGAUCGGCCAAACUGGAACGGAGACACGGACCAGACUCCUACGGGAGGCAGCAGUAGGGAAUCUUCCGCAAUGGGCGAAAGCAUGACGGAGCAACGCCGCGUGAGAGAUGAAGGUCUUCGGAUCGUAAAACUCUGUUAUUAGGGAAGAACAUAUGUGUAAGUAACUGUGCACAUCUUGACGGUACCUAAUAAGAAAGCCACGGCUAACUACGUG
rnacentral:rRNA from 1 species